rnacentral:rRNA from 1 species
CAGCCGUAAACUAUGCGCGUUAGGUGUAUCGGUGACCACGAGUUACCGAGGUGCCGAAGGGAAACCGUGAAACGUGCCGCCUGGGAAGUACGGUCGCAGGGCUGAAACUUAAAGGAAUUGGCGGGGGAGCACCACAACAGGUGGAGCCUGCGGUUUAAUUGGACUCAACGCCGGGAAGCUCACCGGAUAGGACAGCAGAAUGAUUGCCGGGCUGAAGACCCUGCAUGACUAGCUGAGAGGAGGUGCAUGGCGUCAGUGACU